rnacentral:rRNA from 1 species
AUUGAACGCUGGCGGCAGGCCUAACACAUGCAAGUCGAACGGUAACAGGAAGAAGCUUGCUUCUUUGCUGACGAGUGGCGGACGUGUGAGGAAUGUCUGGGAAACUGCCUGAUGGAGGGGGAUAACUACUGGAAACGGUAGCUAAUACCGCAUAACGUCGCAAGACCAAAAAGGGGGACCUUCGGGCCUCUUGCCAUCGGAUGUGCCCAGAUGGGAUUAGCUAGUAGGUGGGGUAACGGCUCACCUAGGCGACGAUCCCUAGCUGGUCUGAGAGGAUGACCAGCCACACUGGAACUGAGACACGGUCCAGACUCCUACGGGAGGCAGCAGUGGGGAAUAUUGCACAAUGGGCGCAAGCCUGAUGCAGCCAUGCCGCGUGUAUGAAGAAGGCCUUCGGGUUGUAAAGUACUUUCAGCGGGGAGGAAGGGAGUAAAGUUAAUACCUUUGCUCAUUGACGUUACCCGCAGAAGAAGCACCGGCUAACUCCGUG